rnacentral:rRNA from 1 species
UUUAUGGAGAGUUUGAUCCUGGCUCAGGAUGAACGCUGGCGGCGUGCCUAAUACAUGCAAGUCGAGCGAACAGAUAAGGAGCUUGCUCCUUUGACGUUAGCGGCGGACGGGUGAGUAACACGUGGGUAACCUACCUAUAAGACUGGAAUAACUCCGGGAAACCGGGGCUAAUGCCGGAUAACAUGUUGAACCGCAUGGUUCUACAGUGAAAGACGGUCUUGCUGUCACUUAUAGAUGGACCCGCGCCGUAUUAGCUAGUUGGUGGGGUAACGGCCUACCAAGGCGACGAUACGUAGCCGACCUGAGAGGGUGAUCGGCCACACUGGAACUGAGACACGGUCCAGACUCCUACGGGAGGCAGCAGUAGGGAAUCUUCCGCAAUGGGCGAAAGCCUGACGGAGCAACGCCGCGUGAGUGAUGAAGGUCUUCGGAUCGUAAAGCUCUGUUGUUAGGGAAGAACAAAUGUGUAAGUAACUGUGCACAUCUUGACGGUACCUAACCAGAAAGCCACGGCUAACUACGUGCCAGCAGCCGCGGUAAUACGUAGGUGGCAAGCGUUAUCCGGAAUUAUUGGGCGUAAAGCGCGCGUAGGCGGUUUUUUAAGUCUGAUGUGAAAGCCCACGGCUCAACCGUGGAGGGUCAUUGGAAACUGGAAAACUUGAGUGCAGAAGAGGAAAGUGGAAUUCCAUGUGUAGCGGUGAAAUGCGCAGAGAUAUGGAGGAACACCAGUGGCGAAGGCGGCUUUCUGGUCUGCAACUGACGCUGAUGUGCGAAAGCGUGGGGAUCAAACAGGAUUAGAUACCCUGGUAGUCCACGCCGUAAACGAUGAGUGCUAAGUGUUAGGGGGUUUCCGCCCCUUAGUGCUGCAGCUAACGCAUUAAGCACUCCGCCUGGGGAGUACGGUCGCAAGACUGAAACUCAAAGGAAUUGACGGGGACCCGCACAAGCGGUGGAGCAUGUGGUUUAAUUCGAAGCAACGCGAAGAACCUUACCAAAUCUUGACAUCCUUUGACCGCUCUAGAGAUAGAGUUUUCCUCUUCGGAGGACAAAGUGACAGGUGGUGCAUGGUUGUCGUCAGCUCGUGUCGUGAGAUGUUGGGUUAAGUCCCGCAACGAGCGCAACCCUUGAACUUAGUUGCCAUCAUUCAGUUGGGCACUCUAAGUUGACUGCCGGUGACAAACCGGAGGAAGGUGGGGAUGACGUCAAAUCAUCAUGCCCCUUAUGAUUUGGGCUACACACGUGCUACAAUGGACA